rnacentral:rRNA from 1 species
CCUACGGGAGGCAGCAGUGAGGAAUAUUGGUCAAUGGACGAGAGUCUGAACCAGCCAAGUAGCGUGAAGGAUGACUGCCCUAUGGGUUGUAAACUUCUUUUAUAAAGGAAUAAAACGAGGCACGUGUGCCUUUUUGCAUGUACUUUAUGAGUAAGGAUCGGCUAACUCCGUGCCAGCAGCCGCGGUAAUACGGAGGAUCCGAUCGUUAUCCGGAUUUAUUGGGUUUAAAGGGAGCGUAGAUGGGUUGUUAAGUCAGUUGUGAAAGUUUGCGGCUCAACCGUAAAAUUGCAAUUGAUACUGGCAGUCUUGAGUACAGUUGAGGUAGGCGGAAUUCGUGGUGUAGCAGUGAAAUGCUUAGAUAUCACGAAGAACCCCGAUUGCGAAGGCAGCUUACUAAACUGUGACUGACAUUGAUGCUCGAAAGUGUGGGUAUCAAACAGGAUUAGAUACCCCUGUAGUC